GGUAACAAACUAAAACUGAGGGAAACGCAUUAGAUAUAAGAGGAGAACAACGACACAACACUACAAUGUUACACACACAGAAACGGACCAAGCAUCAGACAAAAUACCACGAGAAUAACAAAUACAACAUCAAAACCAAAUACAUGAAUUUGGGAUAGACAAGUACCGUGACACGUCUUAUCGCAAUGUGAAUUUACACUAAAAAAUAAGAGAAAACAAAC
rnacentral:lncRNA from 1 species